GCCAACCCAAGCCAGUUUGCCUGACGACAAUAGAGUUGUGGAACCACCUGAUCCCUUGCCGAACUCAGAAGUGAAACGCAACAUCGCCGAUGGUAGUGUGGGGUUUCCCCAUGUGAGAGUAGGUCAUCGUCAGGC
rnacentral:rRNA from 1 species